ensembl:lncRNA
UGAAAAUGUUAAAAUACAAAUGGCUAAAGUCUUUGCUACUUUUGAACUGUGGUGCUGGAGAAGACUCCUAAGAGUCCCUUGGACAACAAGGAGAUCAAACCAGUCAAUCCUAAAGGAAAUCAACCCUGAAUAUUCACUGGAAGGACUGAUGCUGAAGCUGAAGCUCCAAUACCUUGGCCACCUGAUGUGAAGAACUGGCUCACUGGAAAAGACCCGGAUGCUGGCAAAGAGUGAAGGCAGGAAGAAGAGGAGGUGACAGAGGAUAUGAAGGCUCACACUCUGGCAGUGCAGAGCAGCGCUGUGGUUUCGGCAGUUUGGACACAGAACGCACCUGCCACUCCAGGACGCGAAGAACACUGGGCCCCUGGAGCCACCGGCGCCGGCUGUCCCGCGGGGGUUUAGGAGACGCUCUGGGCUCUGGGCCCUGGCCCCAGACAGCUUACAUGCAUGUCCGAAGAAUAACUGCAGGGAGGCCAGAGUCUUGCAUCUACCCACGCAUAGAAAAGCAUUGAAAUGAUUACCUUGAAAUGUCUGGGGUUUCUGUGUGAUGAGCGGUAAUCCUUGAAUUUUUUUUCCUUCCAGCAAAAAAUGUAUACACCUUGGCUCUGCUCUACCCUCCUCUGAGAGGUUGGGCUAUCGAGGUCCCCAAAUCACCUAAAACUUGCAAGUUAAGCUGUAUGUUUUUCUCUGGUCAGUGGUUUUGGUGACCACAAGGGGGCCCAGAGCAGACGUCUCCCCUUCGCCAGAACUCAGCAGGGAGGCUCCUGGGCCCACUUGCCUCCCUGGGGAGCCUCCUGGGUCUCAGAUCUCCUGCUAUGGGCUGAUCCUGUCCUAUUUGCUGGUGGAUAAAUCCCUCACUGGAGGAGCAGGUUAGUUUUAAGAAGAGGUACCUGGGUUACUCUAGUUGAGAGACUCAAGGAAGGCUGAGUCAGAGACACGGAGUGUGGCUGAACUGGGACUUAGAUGCGAGACUGAUGUGUCAUUUUUCCUUGAAUUGGCUGCUGCUGCUGCUGCUGCUGCUAAGUCGCUUCAGUCGUGUCUCACUCCAUGAGACCCCAUAGACGGCAGCCCACCAGGCUCCCCCGUCCCUGGGAUUCUCCAGGCAAGAACACUGGAGUGGGUUGUCAUUUCCUUCUCUAAUGCAUGAAAGUGAAAAGUGAAAGUGAAGUCGCUCAGUCAUGUCCGACUCAUAGCGACCCCAUGGACUGCAGCCUACCAGGCUCCUCCAUCCAUAGGAUUUUCCAGGCAAGAGUACUGGAGUGGGGUGCCAUUGCCUUCUCUGAUUGGCUGCGUGAACGGGGCUAUUGGAAU